rfam:Stackebrandtia nassauensis DSM 44728, complete genome.
CUUCAGUGAACCCAGGUAGACCGGCUCCGAGGCGUCGCGCCCCUGGCCGUAGGUGGCCAGGAUCGCCUGCGCCUC